UAAGAGGCCAGUGUUGAUCAGUAGCUGUCCAGGCCUUUCAGAGCCACUGACACGCUGGCAGCACAAUCAUCAUGUCUCUGACUCUACUGCUGGUCACCCUGGGGCUCCUUGUUCAGGGUUCAUCAGGAGAAAUCAUCCUGACUCAGUCUCCUGGAUCUCAGUCUGUUGUUCUGGGACAGACUGUCUCUAUCAGAUGUAAAGCCAGUUCAAGUGUUACUUACGACCUCCAAUGGUACCUUCAGAGACCUGGAGAAACUCCCAAGCUUCUUAUUUAUGAUGAUACAACACGUUAUUCAGGCGUUUCAGAUCGUUUUAGUGGAAGUAAAUCUAGUAACACUGACUUCACUCUGACCAUCAGUAGAGUUCAGGCUGAAGAUGCAGGAGUUUACUACUGUCAGCAUGAUGAAAACCUCCCGUUCACACAGUGAUACAACGUCGUACAAAAACCUCCCUCAGCUGCAGAGGAACUGAUCUGACUCAACAGCUGCACUGACACUAAAACAACAGAGGUUGUAAUAAAUAAUGUAAUUUAUAAUGAUCGACUUUGAAAAUGUAAACACUAAAUAUAUUGAAUUUAACCUUGAAGGUUAUAUUUUAUUUAUUUAUUUUUGU